ensembl:lncRNA
AGUCUCUCCUCCGCAGAGUUUCAUUGUCAUCACAAUGGAAAUGAGUCAAGCUUCUCCAUUUCUCUCCCCGUGGAUGCCAGCCCUUCAAAGAACUGUAAUUCCAUUUUAUCCAGUAAUGCACAGACCUGUCCAUGCUUCCUUCUAAGGUGACUCAUAAUAUGAGGCUGACCCUUCCCUUGGAGGUGAUAACCAGAGGAAAUCCAGAGGAAGAAUCAAGCCUCUGAAAAGUCACCCCGUUUCGAUGUUGUUUGAUUCUUUCUGCCUUUUGGUGUUGACUGAAGUUACCUGGCCAUCAUCUUCUGGUCUGAAGAAGGUAAUAUGAGAGUAGUAAGAAAAUUUCAACAGAUGUUUCUAGGAGAAUGAGACUGGAAACAGACUGUGUUAACGUUAAAAC